rnacentral:lncRNA from 1 species
GCGCUAACGCCUUUAACGAGCAGAAAAAAUCUUGCGCAGAACAUGUGGUUGCGCGCGCCAUGGCUCGUGUCCUCCACACCUUCGGCCGCCAUCCUCCCCCGCCGUGGUCAUCCCUUUCGUGCCUGUGCACGCCACACUUGCGUCCGCUAGCUCCCACACUCCCCUUCGCCGCUGAACCACGACAAACACCUUAUGCGGUGUGUGCGAGAGGAACCGUUGUCCCUCGCGUCGCGCUCUUCUCAUCCGCUCCUCAUCCACUGACGUCGGCUUCGGAAUCGAGCCAUUUUCUAGGCGUCACAUCCGGGCGUCGAAGUGGGAAGUCUUGACACAUCGUUGUUGGUGAGUGCUAGCUGGUCGUCACUGAGGUGACUGCUAAGAAAGAUAGAAGAGAAUGAGCAUUCCUCGUCGUAUGCUUCAUGGCUCUUCAGCGAAGGGGCAGUCCGUAAGGUGAAGAGCGAUCUUAUAGCAGUCGUACCCAUCAAUGACAGAGAUGCAUUUGGUGGUGGUGAAACCGGUGGCCAUGCACAUUAUUGAAACAAGCAAGAAGCUUAGAACAUGUCGUUUCAUUUCCCCAUGUAUUCGAUCCGGAGAAUAUCCACCUCCAUUGUAUUUUAAUGAAUGUUAUUAAUAUCCAAACAGAAGUACUUAUUAUGUUUUACGAUUA